rnacentral:rRNA from 1 species
CCUACGGGGGGCAGCAGUGGGGAAUAUUGGACAAUGGGGGCAACCCUGAUCCAGCCAUGCCGCGUGUGUGAAGAAGGCCCUCGGGUUGUAAAGCACUUUCAGUGAGGAAGAACGCCUGGUGGUUAAUACCCAUCAGGAAAGACAUCACUCACAGAAGAAGCACCGGCUAACUCCGUGCCAGCAGCCGCGGUAAUACGGAGGGUGCGAGCGUUAAUCGGAAUUACUGGGCGUAAAGCGCGCGUAGGUGGCUUGAUAAGCCGGUUGUGAAAGCCCCGGGCUCAACCUGGGAACGGCAUCCGGAACUGUCAAGCUAGAGUGCAGGAGAGGAAGGUUGAAUUCCCGGUGUAGCGGUGAAAUGCGUAGAGAUCGGGAGGAAUACCAGUGGCGAAGGCGGCCUUCUGGACUGACACUGACACUGAGGUGCGAAAGCGUGGGUAGCAAACAGGAUUAGAUACCCUUGUAGUC